rnacentral:tRNA from 1 species
GCCGGUAUCGUCUAGUGGACCAGGACAUAUGGUUCUCAGCCAUAGAACCGGGGUUCAAUUCCCCGUACCGGUA